rnacentral:tRNA from 2 species
GCGGGGUGGAGCAGCCCGGUAGCUCGUCAGGCUCAUAACCUGAAGGCCGCAGGUUCAAAUCCUGCCCCCGCAA